GACGAACGCUGGCGGCGUGCUUAACACAUGCAAGUCGAACGCUGAAGCUCAGCUUUUGUUGGGUGGAUGAGUGGCGAGCGGGUGAGUAACACGUGAGUAACCUGCCCCCUUCUUUGGGAUAACGCCCGGAAACGGGUGCUAAUACUGGAUAUUCACUGGUCUUCGCAUGGGGGUUGGUGGAAAGGGUUUUUCUGGUGGGGGAUGGGCUCGCGGCCUAUCAGCUUGUUGGUGGGGUGAUGGCCUACCAAGGCUUUGACGGGUAGCCGGCCUGAGAGGGUGACCGGUCACAGUGGGACUGAGAUACGGCCCAGACUGCUACGGGAGGCAGCAGUGGGGAAUAUUGCACAAUGGGCGCAAGCCUGAUGCAGCGACGCCGCGUGAGGGAUGGAGGCCUUCGGGUUGUGAACCUCUUUCGCUCAUGGUCAAGCCGCAACAAUGGUUGUGGUGAGGGUAGUGGGUAAAGAAGCGCCGGCUAACUACGUG
rnacentral:rRNA from 1 species